rnacentral:lncRNA from 1 species
CGCCAGAUUCCUGAAAUAUCUUGUAUUAGAAGAGUUUUCUCAAACAUGUAAUCCCUGGGCCAGUACCAUCAGCACCACCCAGAUCUACUAUUUAAACAACCCUCCAGGUGAUUCUGAUGUAUGUCAAAGUUUUAGAACAUAUUAGCUGAAGAAACACCGAGCUGGUAGUGCAGACCUGGAAUUUUGGCUCUGCCUCUUGUAUUAAAAGCCUAUGUGACUCA